GCUUCGGUUCAGUUGUCAGCUCGUUAGCUUACAACCACAGUUGCAUGCAAAUGGCAUUUCACGCACUGUUACAGAUUAACCGUUCAAGAGAAGCCAUACAGUCAUCACUGCCCAUGACCAUCCGAAUGGCAAAAACGGCCUUUUGCAACCCGGAUACGUCCACCCUAUCUCUUCACCUGCCUUGUUCCUAGUCAUCUCUUCACAUCAAUACAGCAUGUGCACAAACUCACCCUAAGCUGUCCUGUUGCUGGCCGGAUUUGACCUCCCGACGCAGUAUGAAAGCCUGCAAGAGCAGGUCGGCGAUGGAGCUUGAUUUCUUACGUGGUACUGACUACCAAUAUCCUCGUCUUCGCAGCGACCACUGGCUAGUGGUGCAGCAGUGAAACUCAAAACUGUUCCUGUGCCGCCUACCUCCCACAAUCAAGCAACGCUGGCUAAUAUCGCCGCCUCUCCUGCGUGGGCAAUCGAUAAGACCAUCAUUCAGACACAUCCUCAACACGGCGUGCGGCGCAGCUCCACAGAGUUGCGGUCUUCUGUCAAACCUUUGCAGGUGGCCUAGAUUGACACGGAACGCACCGCAUGGCAAGCACCCGCAAUAAUACCCAUACUUUACAGACGCGCCAUGGCUGCGCGGCACAGGCCGAACGCUUCGCCCAAAAUGCCACGACCGCCCUCACGCGCGCAAUCGUGGCAUGAAUGCAUGCCGCACCGCAAAGACUCACCAGCGCAGGGCGCGAGUGGGGCACCGCGACUGCUGCAGAGUCUGGCAAGGCCGCUGCCUCUUCACGCCGACAUGCGGUUAGAAACCAAUCUGUCCAUACUUACCUCAUAGUAGCCGUCACGUGGCCGGUCGCGGUAGCUACCGCCGCUCCCGUAUGAUCCUGACCUGUAACCGUCGUCGCCACGCCGGUCGUAGUCACGCCGGUCAUCAUAGCCCCGCCCCCGCCCACCAUCCUCGUAGCCCUUGCCGCGGUAGUCGUCGUGCCCCCGGCCGCGAUAGUCGUCAUAGCCCCGCCCGCGGGAAUCUUCGAAACCCCGGCUCUGGCUGUCGUGCCCCCGGUUAUCACGCCUGCAAGGCAUAAAUUUGGUAUGCUGGUAUUCACAGCGCCCUCAGCCCCAGAGGGCCUCAAAGCAGUAAAAGUUGAGCUCCCUCAGCAGCCAAUAUAAGGAUACGUCUGUAUAGUAUGAAUGAUGAAUGGCUGCCAAGCAAGGCGCCCGAGCUGUGUGAAUGCCACAACGCAACCAAGCUGCACAUGAUUUAUGGUGGCAGCUUAUAACUAAGCCAAAUGCCGCCCACGCAC
rnacentral:lncRNA from 1 species